AGCAGCUCUGGUUCGCCAUCCUCGAGUCCCAGGUUGAGACUGGUAACCCGUACAUGCUCUUCAAGGAUGCGUGCAACCGCAAGUCCAACCAGCAGAACCUCGGCACCAUCCGAUCCUCCAACCUCUGCACCGAGAUUGUCGAGUACACCUCGCCGGAGGAGACCGCGGUGUGCAACCUCGCGUCCAUCGCGCUGCCCCGCUUCGUCAUCGAGAACAACCCCCAGUCCCCCACGGGCCGCACCGAGGCGAAGAAGCUCCGAGGGUCCAUCGGCGCCGCCAACAGGUACUUCGACCACGACAAGCUCGCCGAGAUCACCCGCAAGGUGACCCGCAACCUCAACCGCAUCAUCGACGUCAACUACUACCCCGUCGAGACCGCCAGGCGCAGCAACAUGAAGCACAGGCCCAUUGGCCUCGGCGUUCAGGGCCUCGCCGACGUCUUCAUCCUCCUCGGCAUGCCCUUCGACUCUCCCG
rnacentral:lncRNA from 1 species